rnacentral:rRNA from 1 species
CCUACGGGUGGCUGCAGUGGGGAAUAUUGGACAAUGGGCGAAAGCCUGAUCCAGCCAUGCCGCGUGUGUGAAGAAGGCCUUCGGGUUGUAAAGCACUUUCAGUGGGGAAGAAAGCCUUGGGGCUAAUACCCUCGAGGAAGGACAUCACCCACAGAAGAAGCACCGGCUAACUCCGUGCCAGCAGCCGCGGUAAUACGGAGGGUGCGAGCGUUAAUCGGAAUUACUGGGCGUAAAGCGCGCGUAGGCGGUCUGAUAAGCUGGUUGUGAAAGCCCCGGGCUCAACCUGGGAACGGCAUCCGGAACUGUCAGGCUAGAGUGCAGGAGAGGAAGGUAGAAUUCCCGGUGUAGCGGUGAAAUGCGUAGAGAUCGGGAGGAAUACCAGUGGCGAAGGCGGCCUUCUGGACUGACACUGACGCUGAGGUGCGAAAGCGUGGGUAGCAAACAGGAUUAGGUACCCCGGUAGUC